UACGAACUGUGCGAACGUUAUUCGGAAUCACUGGGCUUACAGGGUGCGUUGGCGGCUUUUCAAGUCAGGUGUGAAAGCCCCCGGCUCAACCGGGGAAUUGCGCUUGAAACUGGAGAGCUCGAGUCAGCUGGAGGUGCACGGAACUUCCAGUGGAGCGGUGAAAUGUGUUGAUAUUGGAAGGAACACCGGAGGCGAAAGCGGUGCACUGGGGCUGGUCUGACGCUGAGGCACGAAAGCCAGGGUAGCGAACGGG
rnacentral:rRNA from 1 species